UACGUAGGGUGCAAGCGUUGUCCGGAUUUAUUGGGCGUAAAGAGCUCGUAGGCGGUCUGUCGCGUCGGAUGUGAAAACCCAGGGCUCAACCCUGGGCCUGCAUUCGAUACGGGCAGACUAGAGUGUGGCAGGGGAGACUGGAAUUCCUGGUGUAGCGGUGAAAUGCGCAGAUAUCAGGAGGAACACCGGUGGCGAAGGCGGCAUCUGGGCCAAUACUGACGCUGAGGAGCGAAAGCGUGGGGAGCAACAGGAUUAGAACCGUAC
rnacentral:rRNA from 1 species